GCUUUCAAGUGGUGGGCCCCACACCCUUUCUCAGCACAUGCAUCCAGGAUGCCUGUGACCCCCAGGAAUGCCAAGUUGCCUGCAAUCUGGCAGCUGCCUACAUCCACCUGUGUGCCCGCAGCUCUGUGCCCCUGGACCCUCUGCCCCAGUGUGAGUGAGAUUCCGACGGGGCCAAUGCCUUCCAGCUCCUUCACCUUCUGUUCUGAUCCUGGCUCCUGGCAUGGUCAAGGCUGUCAGCUGGCAUGGGACCACCAGCACCAUGUGCCAAGACACUCCAAGAAAUGGCACAGGCUCUGGGUACAAGAGGGAAGAGCCACGUGUCGUUUUUAAAAUACUCCAGGCUUGGGGAUGAGGGGUUGGUGGCGGCAAACCACCUGGUCUGGGCCUUCCUCCACCUGCCCCAGGAGAUGGCUCACCUUGGCUUGGGACUUCAGUAACUGCUGUCACCUCAUUAGCCCUGUGGAACGAGGGAGGGAUCUGCAAGAUGGGGCUCCCCUGGCUGGCUCCAGUUGUCCUGGGAGGCCUGAUGCUCCUUCAGGGGAGGUCACAGCCCCAAGCCCUUUAAUCAAGAGCUUCGCUGGGAGCAUCUGUGUUCAGAGUGGACACCAGGGACUCAGACCAGGCUAUAGCGUUCAGAGGAUUCCAGUAUCUUUUGGCAGACAGGUUUCCCCCCCAAGUUCUCAACCAAAAAAUAAAGCCGUUGGAUCCAGGAACCUGUCCCCUGGCUUGGUGCAACUGCCCGGGGAGCUCUCAUGGCUUGGAACAGGCCCUUGCUAGGGGGCCUCCUCAAGCCCUUUCUACACUGAACCUUUCACAGGAGCUGGUAAGAGUCCAGAUUUCUGCAAGGGGCCCCGGGCUAUGGUG